UGGUGCUGACACUCAUGGGAUCUGACAUA
rnacentral:piRNA from 1 species